ACCGCGUAACAUAGUACAUUGUUUUUGUAACAAAUCAUUAUUUUUAUUUUCAAUCUUUACUUAUUAUAUAAUAAUUAUUAUAAGAUAAUAAAAACAAUAUUACAAAUAAUUUUACAAAUCUUCUCUUUUCACACUACGUAAUGAAACCGUCGCGUGUUUCUACAUUACAAGCAUGGGUUUUAGAAUUGUAUCUUUGUCAUAUUCUGUACUUCCACUGGCAAAAAUUAAUGCGAAAUAAUGUAUUUUGUUGUUGAAUCCCUGGAGAUAUUGAUCUUUGAUCAAAGAAUAGUUACGAUCAUGCGAAGCAGGGAAUUAGGGAGUGCCAGCUGGAAAUAUUUAUUAGUGGCCAGCCACACCCUUCACACCACUCAACUUGAUCAUAAACCUAUGCUUUAUUUUCAGUCAGAUACAAUCCCUCGAACAGAGUGCAUUGAAAUUUACUUGGAACUAUCUUUUAACUUCAACAAUUUCAUUUUCAUGUAGUAAUGAAUUGUGACAUUUGUAAAAAUGAACGAAAGGAUAGUUCCAACAACGUCAAAUUCGAUAUCUUUCUCCACAUCUGUACCACCCUGUUCUCCGAACGAAGUAGCUAUUAGUCCAGGAGACUGUGUCAAGGGAGGCAUGGAAGAAUGGCUAGAAGACGAGACGGUAGCUGGUUUUCGUGUCUGGCAACUAGCGGGCAUCGUUCUUUCUAUAUUGCUAACGAUAAUGAUAGCGCUGUGCUGCUGCAUAAGAUUUCGAGUGCCGAGGACGAAACAGGAGAUUGAAGCGGAUUAUAUCAGGAAAAGGAUAACAAGAAGUUUUAGAAAAGAACUGGCCAAGAUAAACAAUGAGGAGAUGGACGAAAUGGAUUUGGAUCAAGCUUUAGACAGAGUUCGAGCAAAGUUUGAUGCUGAGACGGAGUUACAAAAACGACAAAGAGACCAAAAGUUUGACGAACAACCACGUGGAUUUCGAGCAAGAUUCAACUCUAUAUUGCACGGUGUGCAUUUACGCCUUGCUCGGAAUGAACCCAGAGAAUUGAAUGGUGUAAUCUGAAUAGUACUGACAGAAGAGAAAAUGGUAUUGGUAGACAGUUCUCCCAGAUUAAAUAUAAUUUUUAUUUUUCGAUAGAAUACAUAAAUUAGUUCUGUUUAUUAACAUGCAAUAAUGAUUGAUGGUGUGGUAUUUACAUACAGCAAAUUAUCAUCAUUUUGGAACAUGUCACGAUGAUCUACCCGUGUAUACAUAGAUCGGAAAAUCUGAUUUUAUCGAAAUUGAGUAAAACGUUAUCACUCAUUAGUUUUCACCAGAGGUUUAGUACUCAACGUCAUUGGAUACUUCAUCGAGGAUUAUUAUUUGAAUGCUCUGGUAGUAACACCGAUUUGUUCAUCUUAUACUUUCCAUGACUCCACAGAUGAAAAGAGCCGAUGAUACAAUCAGGGAUAUCGGCCAUUGAGUAGCCAAAGACUUUGUAAAAGGGCAUAAAAAAUAUCUAUGGAUCGAAAUGGAGGUACAUGUUAUCAUUUAUGUAAUUAACUAAGAUUGCGACAAGGAACCAUAUAUUGACGAUCGUCUAGUACACUAUUUGAAAGACUCGUCGUACCUGAGAAAAGAAAUUUACAGAAACAAAAUGACGACUAAUCAAUUACUACUAAUUGUCAAUGAUCGGAAAAAAUUUCUUUAUGAAAAUACUAACAGCACAUGCUACUAUUCUGUAUCAUAUCAAUAACAGUAAUUAAGCAUUACAUUCAAUAAUUUCAUCUGUACCCUGUGAUCUCUAUAACAUUUACAAUUAUAAAAGUAAAUAAGAUCCAGUUGUUCAGCUACCUUUGAAUAAAAACUUACUCUCGUUACAUGGCUCAACUGCCAACCAAAUCAUCAGAUGACAUGGGCAGAUUUACAGUAUAGACUCUACUUCACAAAGCAUAGAGUAACAAUAUAGACGCUUCGAUUCAAUAAUUUGCCACCUACCACUCGAUGGAUCAGAGUGCAAUAAUUUUAUCUAUUAAUAGCAGCUAUACUAUAAACGUCGAGAAUUAACAGAGUGAAAUUGGCCAUGUAGGAAUGCGCAGAAUUCAUACACCACCUUUAAAACGUCGAUCACUAAUUCCGUAUUAAUCUACUUUCACACUUACAGGUACUUAAUCGUCAGUCCGACACCAGACGUGCGUAUCCACGCAUUGAGAAUUUCACUAAAUAUUUUUGGUACAAAUAAAAUUGAGAACAAUUAUUACACGCAUAAUGUGAAUAAACGUUGCGCGAAAGACAAUUAUAUAUAUAGAGAUAUUUAUGAUAACAGUUACAACAAAACUAAUUUAUAUGAUGAUUCCGCUUCAUUAAUACGAACUGCAUUUAUCUACCUAGGUACAUAUUCAAUAUUCUCAUCUACUGUGAAGAUUAGUCAUUUCAAUGUAGACGUGCACCGAUGACUUGAAUUUCUUUUUUAUUGUUAUUUUUUCUAUUUUCUCUUAAUUUUUUUUUAAAUGAGGUGAGGCUAUUUAUCCAUACAAUUAGACUGAGAAUGAUAACAAUAAUGAGGUUCGUUAAGUUGAAAGAAGAAGUUUAUAUGUUUGCUUGUAUUAUGGCAUGCAUAACUAGUAAUGAUAUUUGCAUAAA
rnacentral:misc_RNA from 1 species